GACCGCGUAGCUCAGUUGGCAGGGCAUUGGGCUAGAAUUCCAAAGGUCGUAGGUUUGAUUCCCACCGUGGCCA
rnacentral:tRNA from 1 species